ensembl:lncRNA
UGCUUUAGGCCCAAGUCUUUUUUUUAUGUUUUUCUUUUAUAAGGCUGCAGCUGCAUGUCCAAGAAAUCGAGAUGGGUCAACAGUACCUCACGCAAUAGCUCACAACUGCGCAAAUACCAUGCUGCUUGCAUGAUUAAGGACCUGAACAACCAGGACUUCCCUCCCACCCAAAACAGGAUGGCAGAGAAGUUAGAUAGAGAGGAAAAACUAAAAGGAAGCUGAAGAUAAGCGCCAAUCAGCAAAUGUCCACUGCAUUGCCUGGAAAAAUAAAGCAUACAUUUUCCAGCGUGUAGAAGGUGACACGAAAACACUCCAUGACAAUAUCAAGGAAUAUGACUGGGUGCAAUGUGCCGAUUGCCUGUGCUGGGGUAAUUUUGAAUGUUUCGGAGUACAGAGAACUUGCAAGCAAAUUGUUCUCAUGUGGCUGCACAAAAGCUUCAGAAGUAUUAUUAUUAUUACUUACCUCCUAUAAUCAAUGUUCAGUUAUCCAUUUAUUUUCUCCCCUUGUAAUUUGUCAAAUCCUCCACCCAACAUAGCUCAGCACAUCUCAGGUGACCCUGUGGACUCCAUUUUAACAGAUGACCAAAUAAAGGUAGGAAGUGGAAUAGAUUGGUUAAACAUUACUGACCAUAAUGACUUAACCCGGAGGCACAUUGUAACCCGCGUUUGUUUGUUUGAUUGGCAGCUAGUUAUUGAAAGAUUACUUUUUGUUUCAAUGCUUUAAUAAGUAAUAAUAAAGUAAUAAUCAGUAAUUAAGUAAUUCUCAUGCUAAAUAUUUGUUUUCCCUCCGUAGACAUUGGAUUGUGGCUUGAUGGCUGGUCAAAUUAUGUCCAAUCGUCUAUUCCUACAACAACAUCCCGGAUAUGACCCAAGUCUGCAAAGCCUGUACCUCACACAUCUGAGCAUCUUUAAAGACAUAUUUUGCUAUCAGACAGAUGACCUGUCGAACAGACUGUUGACAGUGCUGUCAGUCAACCCUACCGAUGUGAAGGAGGUCCGCUACACCCUAGAGGUGCUAUUGCCUGAGGUCAUCAGCCAGUGGCUUCGUGUUCAGUUUGGGAUGAAUAGAUAUGAAGCCGAGUGUGUACUCCUAAAAAAAACGGUCAUCCCUUUACCACCAGAAAAAAUGGACAGUGUCAAGACAAACACUGACAGCAGCUCUAAGCCCCAAGACAAAGCUAUGCUGGAAUAGGAAGAAGGGGGGAGUUGCAGGCCGUUUUUGAUCUUUUGCAGCAAUGCCUGCCUUAAUUGUUCAGGUCUGGGGGAAUGAGUGAUGUAAGGGGUGAGGGAGGGGGGGAAUGAGGGUUAGUUUUUAUAAUGUUUUUACAUUGUUUAUCCUUCAGAUGAAUAAAAGCAACUCCACGAGUGAUCUGAAUUGGCAAAACGUGCGUAUUUAUUCAUUCCACCUUCCUGAAUUGUGCUCCCUGGUCCCAGGAAUACAUAACGCCUAUAUGGAAAGAGUUGGCAUAUAUACGAUGUUUGGGCCACUUAAAACACACUUUUUAUAUGCUAUAGAUUUGUGUAGUCAAUGGCCCCCUUUAAAUUGUGCAUUUAUACUAUUACUAUAGCUUACUAUUAUUAUUGACUUUUUUUUUGUUGAAAAUUGUAACUUUCAUUUCAAUUUUCAUAUUUUGAUCUUUGAUUUAUACAUUUGACAACUUGACUAUUAUGAUUCGUGACACAUUAUAUAUUUAUUUUUACGGUAUUGGGUCUGUGAAUUAGAGUUACGUUUUGAUUUGUUUUGUUACACGUAUAUCAAAGUAUAUUACACGAUAACUUUCUUCAUAGGAUAAUUUAUUAGUCAGACAUUUAACAAACCAAUAGGCUAUACAAUAUAAUCAAUAUAAAUUUGUACACAUCACUGUAUUACAAAGUUCAUUUAAAAUUAUGACAUGGUGAUAAUGCCUGGCUGCCACAGGUCGCUCAUUCAGCCAUACCUCUGGUUGGUUGCGACCUAUUUGCCGCCAAAAGGGUCACAACGCUUUUAUGGUCGCGACCUAGUCGGUCAGCCUGCCAGAGCCAGCGGCCAGCCUGUCGUCGCAGCCAGCCAACUGACACCAGCCAGCGUCGCAGCCCGUCAUUAC